rnacentral:snRNA from 1 species
AUCGCUUCUCAGCCUUUUGGCUAAGAUCAAGUGUAGAUAUGUGUUCCCAGAGCUUUGGAUUUUGUAGAAAAAUGAGGCUUCCUAACGUAAAAUGAAUCUGAGAUUCCAGGAAUAUACAAAACUAAGGCAAUAUAUUACUCUUUGACAUUCAAAAACUUUUGCUUAUUAAUUGCACAGUUUUCACACUCAAUCACAAUUGGUCUGAA